rnacentral:rRNA from 1 species
GACGAACGCUGGCGGCGUGCUUAACACAUGCAAGUCGAACGGAAAGGCCCUGCUUUUGUGGGGUGCUCGAGUGGCGAACGGGUGAGCAACACGUGAGUAACCUGCCCUUGACUUUGGGAUAACUUCAGGAAACUGGGGCUAAUACCGGAUAGGAGCUCCUGCUGCAUGGUGGGGGUUGGAAAGUUUCGGCGGUUGGGGAUGGACUCGCGGCUUAUCAGCUUGUUGGUGGGGUAGUGGCUUACCAAGGCUUUGACGGGUAGCCGGCCUGAGAGGGUGACCGGCCACAUUGGGACUGAGAUACGGCCCAGACUCCUACGGGAGGCAGCAGUGGGGACUAUUGCACAAUGGGCGGAAGCCUGAUGCAGCAACGCCGCGUGCGGGAUGACGGCCUUCGGGUUGUAAACCGCUUUCGCCUGUGACGAAGCGUGAGUGACGGUAAUGGGUAAAGAAGCACCGGCUAACUACGUG